UCGGGAACCUGUUCGAAGAUGGAUCCAAGCCAUUCCAAGGGUGGCAUUUCAUAUCUCAUACGUUAAUACGAACCCUCUCCCUGUUCAGAUAAACAAUAACACAUGAAACACCUUGGGAGCAUUGAAACUCGUGAUCUCUGUCAAA